rnacentral:rRNA from 1 species
UACAGAGGGUGCAAGCGUUAAUCGGAAUUACUGGGCGUAAAGCGUGCGUAGACGGUUACAUAAGUCGGGUGUGAAAGCCCCGGGCUCAACCUGGGAAUUGCAUUCGAGACUGCGUAGCUAGGGUGCGGAAGAGGGAAGCGGAAUUUCCGGUGUAGCGGUGAAAUGCGCAGAUAUCGGGAAGAACACCCGUGGCGAAGGCGGCUCUCUGGGACGGUACUGGACGCUGAGACGCGAAAGCGUGGGGGAGCGAACAGGG